rnacentral:rRNA from 1 species
GACGUAGGGCGCGAGCGUUGUCCGGAAUCAUUGGGCGUAAAGCGCGCGUAGGCGGCCCGGUAAGUCCGUUGUGAAAGUCAAAGGCUCAACCUUUGAAUGCCGAUGGAUACUGCCGGGCUAGAGUCCGGAAGAGGCGAGUGGAAUUCCUGGUGUAGCGGUGGAAUGCGCAGAUAUCAGGAGGAACACCGGUGGCGAAGGCGGGUCUCUGGGCCGAUACUGACGCUGAGGAGCGAAAGCGUGGGGAGCGAACAGG